rnacentral:rRNA from 1 species
UACGGAGGGUGCGAGCGUUAUCCGGAUUCACUGGGUUUAAAGGGUGCGUAGGUGGGCAGUUAAGUCAGUGGUGAAAUCUCCGGGCUCAACCCGGAAACUGCCAUUGAUACUAUCUGUCUUGAAUAUCGUGGAGGUAAGCGGAAUAUGUCAUGUAGCGGUGAAAUGCUUAGAUAUGACAUAGAACACCAAUUGCGAAGGCAGCUCGCUGGGACGGUACUGACGCUGAGACGCGAAAGCGUGGGGAGCAAACAGG